rnacentral:ncRNA from 2 species
GUAGAGGGAAUGAGUCAGGCUCCGGCUCCACACUGGCACGUAGUGGGCGGAUCGCGCCGGCGCUGAGUAGGAAGGAGCUUCAGCCGCCAGCCCGGAACGCACAGCAAGCACCUGCCUCAGCUGACCCUUGAGCCAUAACCCAUAGGGCUUAUUCCAAAGGGCCAGUGUGCAAAAUAUGAAUCCAAGAUGGCAUUGUGGAAAGACGCUGUACCUCCUGUGAUAAAAUUACUUUGGUGGUGCUUUUUUCUCAUGUAUCUCGGGAAACUAAAAAUCUGAAUUGUAUUCAGUGGCCUUUUCCAAAUG